GGGUCGCUGGUCUAGUGAUAUGAUUCUCGCUUAGGGUAACACCCUAGAGCAGUAUUUGCGAGAAGUCCCGGGUUCAAUCCUCGGGUGACCCC